rnacentral:rRNA from 1 species
AGUGGGAUUGCCAUGGGCGCAGCCUGAUGCAGCCAUGCCGCGUGUGUGAAGAAGGCCUUCGGGUUGUAAAGCACUUUCAGUCGUGAGGAAGGUUUAUGCGUUAAUAGCGUAUAGAUUUGACGUUAGCGACAGAAGAAGCACCGGCUAACUCCGUGCCAGCAGCCGCGGUAAUACGGAGGGUGCGAGCGUUAAUCGGAAUUACUGGGCGUAAAGCGCAUGCAGGUGGUUUGUUAAGUCAGAUGUGAAAGCCCGGGGCUCAACCUCGGAAUUGCAUUUGAAACUGGCAGACUAGAGUACUGUAGAGGGGGGUAGAAUUUCAGGUGUAGCGGUGAAAUGCGUAGAGAUCUGAAGGAAUACCGGUGGCGAAGGCGGCCCCCUGGACAGAUACUGACACUCAGAUGCGAAAGCGUGGGGAGCAAACAGGAUUAGAUACCCUGGUAGUCCACGCCGUAAACGAUGUCUACUUGGAGGUUGUGGCCUUGAGCCGUGGCUUUCGGAGCUAACGCGUUAAGUAGACCGCCUGGGGAGUACGGUCGCAAGAUUAAAACUCAAAUGAAUUGACGGGGGCCCGCACAAGCGGUGGAGCAUGUGGUUUAAUUCGAUGCAACGCGAAGAACCUUACCUACUCUUGACAUCCAGAGAACUUUCCAGAGAUGGAUUGGUGCCUUCGGGAACUCUGAGACAGGUGCUGCAUGGCUGUCGUCAGCUCGUGUUGUGAAAUGUUGGGUUAAGUCCCGCAACGAGCGCAACCCUUAUCCUUGUUUGCCAGCGAGUAAUGUCGGGAAC